UCUGGGUAACAACUCGCAGACAAGCUAAGAAUAGAAAAGUCAACCACUGAAUUUCAUAUUUUGCUUUUCAUUUUUUUUCUUGGACAUGCUCACUAUGUCAAGCGGUUGCAUUUCCUGUGAGGUCAGGCACCAGACAAUAGCUUUCCAAGAGCAUGGAAACAACAGAAACCCAUGAAACAAUCCCACAUCCAGAAGCACGGAGCUGCUGGCACUCACUGAAAGGUUUCCUGACUAGGUCAGCAACAUGGCAGAGACUGCACUUGCUCAAAGCCUGAAGGACGUUGGGAGGUGGAGUGAAGAGGCCAUCCCGCUUCUCAGACACGCCAUUGAUGAUGAGCGAUCAGCUCUAGCAGAGACCACAUGUGAAGGUUUCUUGAGUAACACAGAGAAGUGGAGGAAAAUGGCAGAGCUCAUCCUAUGGCAGAGGUGGAAGAAGGAGCCCGGUGCCACGUGACCAGUGCCCUGGCUUGCAGAAGGAGUGUGAAACAAGUGAGUUAAGGUGGGAACGAGUACUUCUUUCUUUCUCCUCUUCCGCCAUGAAAUAGCAACUUCUAAAAAAGGGGUGCUGCAGAUGGUAAAGUCUUAAAUUACCACGGUGAGCUUUGCCGGAGGGCGUCUCUGGUCCCCUUAGAUGGAGCCCGUCUGCAGCUGAUUCACAGAAGGUCACGUUUGCCUGUCCUGCCCUACUCCUGAGCUUACUCAUGUAGUCAGCGCGGCUGACAGGGAUGAAAGAGCGGAACUGCUUGAACACAUUUGAUAUGGCUCUAGACAGGCAGACUGAUUUGCAAACUCAAAGCACAGGAGAGACUGAGAGCGAUUGCAGCGGAUUACUAAUUAGCUCGGAAACACAGAGGCGAGGCGUGAGGGAGGAACGUGGCUGCAGCUGAGUGGGGGAUAGUGAAUAAGCAUUUCCCACUCACUCUCUCCACAACAUCUGUGAUAUCGAAUCUAUCACCCCAGUCAUCUCUCUUUUAAAAUAAACAAACAAGCAAAAAUAGAGGCUGUUUGAUUCUCCAUGGAGAGAGCUGCUCCUCACAUAUUAUCACCCCAGUUGCUCUACUUAGUGCAUCCCCGAGUCCAGCAAUUCCACUGAGGAGCAGCAGCAUCACAACCGCAAGCAGAGCUCCAGAUGGCAGCUAUAUGAGGAUCUAUGAAAUGAAAGGUCAAUCUGAAAAGGAACAAACAGCGAGAACAGAGCAAAAGACUGUAGCUGGGAAACAGCCAGAGUCCUUUUCUUCUGCGUUCUCAUAGCUUAAUGCCUCCACUGGACUGCUUCCGAAGGAGCAGUCUUUCUGCAGGUGCAGUGUUGUAACAGCUGUGAAACAUUAGUCACCGUUUUAUCAGUGUUAAAACGUUCAAGACAAUGCUUCUAAGAGCACUAUCACUCAACAUACUAUCUAGUAAUUCUAUUGCAACAAGUCAGAAGAUUGAAUAAAACCUUCCAUUCAUGUUGCUCAUCUUGUUCUGUACCCGUGACUGGAGAUCAGCAAGUCUGAGUAAACCCCUUCCAGCUGUAAGCUCUGUGUGUUUAUACUGCAACAGUUCAGUAAAUCCAUUCAGCUUCCAGUAAGAAAUGUCUUUGUUUAUGGCUCUUUUACGAUACUCCCAAUCACCGUCAAAGGAUUCUACAGAAAUAUUUUUAAAAGAUUCAGUUCUGACUUAAUCAAUGCCAUUGUAGAUCAGGAAUAACUCCAUUAAGCUGAUAUGAUGUAAAAUCUAGUUUAUAUUUGCAUGCAGCAGUGAUGUGAGCCUUCUGAAAACUUAGGAGUUCAGAUACACUUAUGGCAAGUCCUGUGUAUGAUAAUUUACUUAAUGAACAUACUGAUGCCCAUGUUAUCUCAACUAAAUUGAGUAGUUGAGACUAAACUCUGAACCCCCUGAAAUCUUGACAAGUAUUGCCAUAGAUAUAGCUGACUCAGGAUUUCACAGAAUACAUAUUUAUUAGGGACUGCUGUUAAGAGAAUUCUCCCGUGUUUUAAAUCACUCUGCGGUGGUGAAUAAUUAAUACUCAGAAAAAGUUCAAUAUUUCUUUCUGCAAGUAGGCCAAGCCAGCAGCCUACUGGAUUUGAAGAUGCAGCUCAAAUAUGCAUAAUCUCCUAUUUCAACAGUAUCGCCUGCACUUGCAGCAGAGCACUGCACACUCACUCUCCCUUCCUUGCCUCCGUAGUUUCUUUACUGUGGAAAAGAGUUUACACCUAACAAUGACAUUAAAACAGGAGUUAGUUACUGUACGUGUUCGCACGCCAGAAGCAGCUGCUGUCAGUAUGAAAGGGGAAAGGAAGUGAGGAGAUCCUGCACUGCUCUGGAAAAUACAGGUGCUGAGAGGAAACUUUUAUCCAGAAGAGUUUGUCAAAGAUAAGGGCAUAGGAAAGGAGAAAAGCGAUGAAGAACACUUCAGAGAUAAAAACAUUAGCUCCAGCCCAAUCUCCAGUAAAUAAAUUUACAUCUCUAACUGCUGCUUAUGACUAUCCAGAGAGAGGUACCAUGUGAAUGGGAGGAGAGCAGAGCUAACCUCACCUCUGUGACUGUGAGCAGAGGUAAGCAUUAGUAUUCUCACUUCAGAUGAACUUCAUUUUCUGAACCUAAAUAAGGAACCUUUCCUUGCAGGAAGAUGCUUCUGUAAUCAGCCCUUCUCACGUAGGCCACCAACAGCUAGCUUACAUCAUUCAGGUUCAGAAUUAGUUUGUAGAGUUUUAUGUUUUGUAAAGUUACACUCUUAAGACACAGUAAAAACUCCAGUAAAAAACACUAACUGACUUUUUAUAGGACUGGAGAGUGCAAUUGUAGAGAACCUAGAUGUAAUUCAAGGAGACCACCGUUCUGCCUUAUAACUGAAAGGUCAUUUACUAGACUUUUAUCCUGUUUUAAGGCAGCUUUUAAUUGAUAUUUGUGUCUUGUUCAAGGCCCUGUCUCUCUGCUAUGCUAUAUUAUACACAGCAAUGUGAUGGCCUCUUUGGAACAAAUAACAAUUUUGAAAUAUAUGCUUUCAAGAUAAUUGGCCUUUUUGCUUUCACUUGUGGCUCAAACAAUGUACCAACCUGACUAUUUCAAAUAACAAACAUACGCUCUGUUUAAUGGGAUGGGAGACUAAUUACCUGUGAGAAAACAGAAAUGGCAGCCAGUCAUAGAAAUCUUUUCCAUUAUUGAAAAGCAUCAUAAAAUAUUAGUCAGCUUUUAGUGUGAUGGCUCAAUAGUGGAUAAAUGGGGAUGAAUGUGCCAGAAUUGGCUCACCCUGUCAAACUAGACUGUUCAGGCACUGAAUGAGACAAGUGACUGUGGUGAGCACCUGUGGGAGGGAGGUGUUCUAGUUGCAGAGAAGGUGUGAAAUAAUUUGAACAGCAACAAGAAAAAUAAUGAGUGAGAUUGCAUUAAAUUAAAUGGCAAUACAGUGAAUAUAAAAUUCCUAUAAUAUUUUUGCCCCUCAAGCCACAAGGUAUCAGGCCACUAAAAUGAAAUGCACUUUUUUUUCCCCCCCCCACACAAGGGUAUUGUCUAAGCUAUUUGAGGGACAGUAACUUAGAUCAACAUCACAAGAUUUAAACAUCCAAUUCACUUUCAAUGCUUUUAGAUCACAGAUUCCACAGGGCACAGUUUGGGGUACGUUUUAUUGUUACCUUAACAAGUUUGGCUGUAUAUACGCUACUUGCUUACUUUGCUGUGUUUUUCUGCUACGUAUAAAAAUCAAAACUAAAUUGCUCAAUUUCAUUUCCACGUUCUCAUUUGUUAAAGUACACUCACUGUUCAAGCUGGCAAUACUUCAGACAUUAGAAAGUCACAAAACCAGAUUUGAUUACUACGCAUGCAGAGGGAAGCUGGGGACAACCUGUGGUAUUUCUUACAGCCCAGGCCCCUCCUACUUUGUACACUCUGGUCCUUUCUCAUUGCAUUACCUUUGCAGGUCCAGGAACAAGUCUGGUUUCCUAGACAGAAAGGCCCUUUGCAACGUGGUGAACUGCCCUCACAAUGCUACUAACAGUGGCAUUUACUCUUCAUGUGGAUCUCAACUCUACCAGCAGCCUAUAACACCACAGCAAGUGACCUCCAAGGGGUCUACUGAGCCUCAUUGAGCAAUGAAAACAUGAUGACCUUGAUCAAAUAUCUCAGCUGUGGUGAACAUCAAAUAACAGAAAUUGCAAAGGUUGACAAUUAUUUGAGGGACAAAAAGUCUGGAGAUUUUGUAUCAGUAGAAUUCUAACGGCUUCAACAGAAUGCUCUUGAUUUAAGUUGGAAUAAUUGAAAAAUUAAUCACAUCUACAUAUCACCAGAAGAAAGGAGAAAUAAACCAUCUUGGAAUUUGUAGUUCACUAUAAUCUGAAGUAGAGAAGUCCUUGGAGAAAUCCAGUCUAAAACAAUGCCAAACCUCAGCACCGUAUUAGGAAACAAAUAUCUUUACGCUACAGACCAGUUGUUAUUCCAGAGUUGCUUCCUGGCUGAAGCACAACAUGCUUUGUUACUCCAUGCUCACCUGUGUGUAUACAACAGGUUUGGCUACAGAUGAAUGCAUAUAAAGAGUUGGAAGAGAUCACGUUCAGUGCUUUGUCCUUCGUUCUGGUGAGGUGCACUUCUGUUUCCCUACUGAGAGCUCCUAGGCACAUGGAAGCUGUAAGGCCAACCACCUAACCAUAGGAGGGAUGGGAUCGCUGGCAAACAACACAUCCUGCUUCACCUCAAGCACCCUCCACUCUCCAGAAGGUACUUUCCUGCACAUGGCUGAGGAGCUGCUGGAAGACUGAAGGGGCACUCUCUUCAGCUGUGGGGCUGCCCCACCCCCAGUGCUGCUCUUCUGGCACCCAGCUCCUCCCAUGCUCCUUGUGCAGCUGGUGGCCCAGGAAGGAGCCAGCAUUGCCUCAAAUGGAACAGAGAGCAUCAGGCUGUUUUCUCUUUAAAAGAAGAACAAAAAAAAAAAAACAAAAAAAAAACCAAAAACUAGGCUUUCCCCUUUGUUUCUGCCUUCCUGACUCCCUGGUUCAUGUCCUUCAUUAAGGCGUCUUUCUCAGUCAAGUUCUGCAAGGGCCUUCUAGCAAAAAAGAGUAAGUAUAUACACAUGCACAUCUAUCUAUCUAUAUAUUUGCACACACACACACUCUUCUAAUAUAUACACACAUAUAAAGAAUAAUGUUUACUCUCAUGCAUAAUACAGUAACAGUGCAAGUGUGUGGAGCAUGGCUGAUUUAUGUACCUAUGCACCGGCCACUCCCUUCAGAUACAGUUGCCAAGGUCCCAAAACAGGGCCUGUUUCCCCAUUGCCAUGGCAACAACAGGUGAGAAGCAGCAUUUCCUAUAAGGAAAGAAAGAGAUGCUGCCAGGCUGAGUAGAGGUCAGGAGCAGGCUGCUCCCUAUGCUCCCUAGGGCAGCCAUCACAUACUGGCUUUGUAGCAGCCAGCACUGUGACCUCACCAGCAGGACCUCAGGCACCAGUGCUCAAGGCUCCCCAGGCCUUGCCCAGUGCAGGCUGGAGGAAAGCAUAGCAGCUGCCUGGGGAGGCUGGCAGGGCUGCAGGGCCACCCCAUGAGGGGCAGGGACUGAGGGACCACAAGCAGCUGGCUUAUUGCCUCCCAUCUGCACUGCCUUCACCUGACCCACCUGGAGGAGCUUUGUGAUGUGGGAAGUGGCACACCUGAAAAAAAAAAAAAAAACAAACAACACAACCAAACAAAACCAAGCAAACAGUUGCCAAGCUUUUGAGCCUACUGGUCCUGGAGGCUGAGUAAGCCUGGUCUUUCUCUGUAAGAACUGGUUUCCUCCCUACCACUUUGGCAGCUAAGAUUAAUGCAUUUUAAACAGCACGUAGGUUCACUUGAGUUAUUUUUUACUUCCUCCUCUUACUUAUGAGAGAAAUCUGACCACAGUAACAGGAAAUUUAAAACAUCAUAUUAGCUUUGCUUUGAGGCACGUGCACAAACCUAAAGCCUGGGUAAAUAAUGAAUAAAAUCUCAGCCACUCUCUGUUAUUCCAACCCACUUCUGCAUCCUUGAGAGUCUGAUCAUCACUAUAACAGCAUUAAAACGAAACUGAUUGUGACUGGAUAUAAAUACCUGGUCUUAAACAUAAGCUUUUCUUCCUUAAGUGAACAUAUCUGGGUGUGGAUGAUCUGCUAUUAGUGGGCAAAAUGGGUGGUGAAGUGAGAAAAUGCAUUCUCACAGCUAUCUUAGACAUCACUGCAGAGAAAGCCUUCAUAAUAAGGUGUGGUAUACAGAAGAAUGUCCAAAGUAUGGCAGCUAUCUGAUGACUAAAAGCAUAUUACGUGCUCAAAGCAGAUCAGCAUCAACACACCGCCUGUUCCUGUCCAUCCUCCCUUAGAACUUGUUAGUGCUUCCACUGAGGUGCACAGAAGCUCAGCCCUUGCCCACAGGGAGCCCACCCAGAAGAGACAAAGUUAGCUUUGAACAACUUGGUACCAACAAAUUCAGCUGCGCAUUACAGAUCUAAGGGAAACCGAGCUUCAUUUUCUCCAUCACUUUGCAGAUUUGUUUGCUUGUUUCCCUUUCCAAGCAUCUGUAUUUAUUCCUUACUUAGUUAAGGACACUGCCUUGUUUUCUUGUCUCUUUCUCCAUGCUCUUCUAACCCUUCAAGGUCCUUCAGCAUCCUCCUGAUCUCCUGCAGCCCUGUCUCUUGCCUCCCAUGGGGCUCUUGCCAACAUUCUGCUCCAGUUUUGCUAGCAGUUGCUUUCUCCUUGGAUACAACUGUGCAUAGUUGAAACAACUCCUUUGUUAGGAAAGAACAACUGCAAUCUGCACUUCACUGCUGAAAACUAAUAGACUAUUUCUGUAAUACGUAAACUAAAAAAGACAUAAUAUCCUACAGAUUUGUGCCUCAUAGUUGGUAUAUCUCAUGUCUAACAGACACAAGCUCCAAGCAGAACUAGCUUCAGUUGCAGGAAACUCACAUUUGCUUUUUCCUAUGUGAAUUCUCUGGUAUAUAGAACUGGGGGGGUUUUACAUCAUAAUCCUUCUUCUCAGGGGAUGCUUUAACAGUGUCUAUCCCCUCCAUAUGCGUAAAGAAUCACUUAGGGAGUUCACAGUAUUUAAAUUAUACAUCAACCACAUCACUCUGGCUGGAGUUGGACAUGGAUUAAGAAGCUAGGCAGGGUGAAUCGAAAAGACAGACAGCCACUCACCUCAACUUUAUACUCUUCAGGAAGUCCAGUUGACAUCUAAGGCUGCAGGCUUGUCUAAUGUGCUCUAUAAUAACAAAAGCAAAACUUACCAGAGAUUGAUAAAGGGCCUGCAGUAAUGGCACUCUUAUGCUGAACCUUGCUGAUGCCAGUAUUGUUAGACUCUUUUCAAAAUGUAAGCUAUAUUGUUCUCAACUAUUAUGUAUAUUUUUCAGAAGCAAAAACAAAAGCAUGGUUUGUACUAGCACAAAAGGCAUCAAAAUCACUGCAAUUGUCUUCUGGUUAAAAUGGCCAGCUCUCAAUUCCAAAUGUUAUACUUUAUUGUGAACUUGAUGAAGAGAGAGAGGAAUUAAUUGUGAACUGGGCUCAUUGCAGGUUUAUCUUAAAAUUGUGAAAUUCAACAAAGUAAAUUACACAAGUUUAACAAAACUCAAAUUAAUACUUUUUUGCUACUACCUGGAUUCUGAGCCAUUGGCUUUUAGUCUUCCUUCCCCCCCCCCCCCCCCUUUUUUUCCCUUUGUAAUUACAAAAGCUAAGAAUUUGUCUUAAAUAAAAAGCUGAAAUUCCCAUAUAAUUCAAAGGCAGCAAUAGUCACAUUAAGAAUCAUAAAAGAUACCAACAGCAAAUUCCCAUCUACUUUAUAGAUGGCUUUGCCUAGUACAUUCUAAGAAGUCAGCCUUUUUAGUCAGUCUAAAUAUAGCAGCAGGGUCAAGAAUUACAAAGUGAUUUUUCUGAUCAAAGAUGUUUUAGAUGUUCCUGAAAAUAGAUUUCUUGAAACCACUUUUCUUUAGCAACAGACUUCAUGUACAACUUCUUUCUCAAACUGGGCACACAACUAAGAAUUGAUUCUUUAAUCAUUUCCAGAAACUUAAGUAUUAACAAUUUCAUCUUUGGCUUCUUUCAGAGAAAGCGUAGUCUCACAAAUCAGCUGUUUCUGGCUUCACUGAAUCCUAAUCAUGCCCUGCCUCCAACAUUUCAUAGCUGUAUUGCUGCAAUGCUCCUCUUCAAGAGGACCUUUUCCUCAUAUAUUUAAGUUCACUCCACAUCUUUGCCAAAUAGUGAUUUUCAGGAAACGCAGUCAGAGACAUUCUUUCAUUACAAAGGAGUUUUCACACAUGCUGAUUCGAUACAAAAGACAACCAACCUAAUCAAGCACUGCUGACGACUGAAAUUUCACCAAGCUACCUUGUGGUAUAAAUGCCAAACCUCAACAUAUAUGCAACUUCUUUCCCUGUAACUAUAGGACUCCUUAGAGGUAUUUUUAAGACACUGAAAUGCUAGAUCCCAAUUCCUUAGUGUUAGUUGAAAGUUUGAUCUACUUAAUUGCAAGCCAUGUCUUAACAGCAUCCAAACCACAGCCUCUUCAGUUAAUAAAGGCUAUUUCCUGAUUUCUACCCCAGUCCAUCAUCCUUCAAUCAUCUUUGUGAGAGAAUGGAAGAAUCCAAAUAAAUUAAUUAGAGGCAGUGUACUAUCUGCUAAUAGCCAUUGGCUGCACUGCAGACUGAGAAACAACUCUGAAACAGAGUUAGGAACUCGGUUGCCUGCUACAACUUAGACAAACUUCACCCCACAAACCAUACUUACCAGGAAU